AUGGUCUGGGGAAAGGCUCCUGCGUUGCUGAACCCGCGCGGCUGUGGGUGCAGCCUUGUACCAGGCAGCCCGAGCCUGACCUAGAGAAAACUCCCGGAGGCGGUGCCCCCCGGGGUGUGGAUUUGCAGUAACAGGUGUGAGCAUUCUAGCAGCAGUUUGGUGGUCAUGUAUGAUACUGCAAACAGAC
rnacentral:snoRNA from 1 species